UUGUCCUGUGACUGCGUACCUUUUGUAUAAUGGGUCAGCGACUUAUAUUCAGUGGCAAGGUUAACCAUCUAGGGGAGCCGUAGGGAAACCGAGUCUUAACUGGGCGUUCAGUCUCUGGAUAUAGACCCGAAACCAGGUGAUCUAGCCAUGGGCAGGUUGAAGGUUGAGUAACAUCAACUGGAGGACCGAACCGACUAAUGUUGAAAAAUUAGCGGAUGACUUGUGGCUAGGGGUGAAAGGCCAAUCAAACCUGGAGAUAGCUGGUUCUCCCCGAAAGCUAUUUAGGUAGCGCCUCGGACGAAUACUACUGGGGGUAGAGCACUGUUAAGGCUAGGGGGUCAUCCCGACUUACCAACCCUUUGCAAACUCCGAAUACCAGUAAGUACUAUCCGGGAGACACACGGCGGGUGCUAACGUCCGUCGUGGAGAGGGAAACAACCCAGACCGCCAGCUAAGGUCCCAAAUUACUACUAAGUGGGAAACGAUGUGGGAAGGCUCAGACAGCCAGGAUGUUGGCUUAGAAGCAGCCAUCAUUUAAAGAAAGCGUAAUAGCUCACUGGUCGAGUCGGCCUGCGCGGAAGAUGUAACGGGGCUAAGUAGUAAACCGAAGCUGCGGCAAUAUACUUUUGUAUAUUGGGUAGGGGAGCGUUCUGUAAGCGGUUGAAGGUGUGUGGUAACGCAUGCUGGAC
rnacentral:rRNA from 1 species